AGUCGUGCAUGGUCGUGCAGCUCUCGGCUGCUCUUCCUCUUCGCGCAGUAAAACCGAGACGAGAAAAUAAAUGCCAAAGUGUGAACACAGCACAGUCAAUAUUUAACUGGCGAUUAAAAAACGAAAAACCACCUUUAACUUUAACUCAACUUGAGCAACCAAAAACGGAGCUGUAAAAGAGCAGUUCCAGUUCCAGCGAGGUUCCAAGGAGAGCAGCCACAGCCGCAUUCCAGAAAGUUCAAAUAACACUGGAAGGCGGGGGGAAAGUGGAAAACUAAACUCGAACUCAGUGUGCCAUGUGUGUAUGUGUGUGGAAUGCAGAAGAAGAAGAACGAUCUUCAAACUGGUUUCUGGUUUUAGACUGUUUGACGUCGGCCGAUUGACAUCCCAAAACGAAAAAAACCUAACCUUCGCUGGGAACACUCGAACAGCGGUGAGCGGCCAGAACGGGAAUGGGAACAGAAACAGAAACGGGAACAGCCAUAAAAGUUGCAUCACUCAGCACAAACAACAAGUCAACCACCAGCAUAGAAUGCGGCUGCCAGACAGGCAAGACGGCACUAGUGGCGGAAAGAGAAGGAGCGACAGCAGAAGAACCGUUUUAAAGAGCUACAGAGCGAGAGGGGCGAGCGCGAGCGGGAUGGCGCACACGAGCAAAGGGAAAAGGGAGCAGCACAACACUCGGAGAAAUGAAUGGAGGAAAAAGUAUUGAAGUAUGUUCUUGUAAAAAUAUCCUUGAAAAGGGUGUCUACUAGGUGAUCGCACGAGUGUGAGAUACUAACUAGGAGUGUUUACAGAGUGUUCUUAAAAGAUAAUCAAAUAGAUCGUUGUUUUAUUUUAUAAAAAAUCAAGUCGUAUCUUAAAGGUGACAAGCCUAGAAACGGACAACACAGGAGAGUGAUACUAUUAUAAGAUUCAUUUUACUUAAGAAAUUGAGUAUCUGUAAAGAUGGGUAAUCCCUAAUUUCGAGGUCUUGUUAGGCGAAUGAAAACUAAAAUAUUUUUUUAAUAACAAGACAUUUUGAAAUACUUGUUAAAGUUAUCCCGUUCAUUUUGCAGUUCAUCGUGGAAACCGUAGUCAGCAAAAAAGAACCCUUUAACUGGAAUAUCGAUAAGCUAUCGAUGGGACAUCGGUAUGCAUCCAGGGCCCAUCAAUUUGCAUUCCAAAAACGAAGGAGUUACACGGGGCAGCGAACUGAGUGUUUUUAUACACAUCAUAAAUGUCAAUUAAAAAUGAUAUUUGUAUUGUCAAGUUCCGCCCGUCGGAUUGCCAUAAAAUGUGCUAUAAAAAGCUAACGGUUAAUGCUACGGUCUGCUGAAGUUCGUGUGUGGCUGCAAAGAGUGGAAAAAACGAAGAGGGGAAAAAACAAAAACUAUUCCCCGCUCAAUAGAAAGUUUGUGUUAAUAAAAAAAUACCUAAAAACUUAAACACACAAAAUAUGUAUGUCGAAAUAUGGCAGCAACAAAAAAGAGUGAAUGAAAAAAUGUUGACCUAAUUUUCGGGGCCCGUUGUUGUUGUUUUUGGUCUUGUUUAUUUCAGCGACGUCGACGGCGGCAGAGGC